rnacentral:rRNA from 1 species
AUUGAGUUUGAUCCUGGCCAGGACGAACGCUGGCGGUGUGCUUCACACAUGCAAGUCGAACGAGGUAGCAAUACCUAGUGGCGGACGGGUGAGUAACGCGUGGGAAUCUGCCCUUGGGUAGGGGAUAGCAGACCGAAAGGUCUAUUAAUACCGUAUGUGCCGAAAGGUGAAAGGAGUAAUCCGCCCGAGGAUGAGCCUGCGUCCGAUUAGCUAGUUGGUGGGGUAAAUGCCUACCAAGGCUACGAUCGGUAGCUGGUCUGAGAGGAUGAUCAGCCACAAUGGGACUGAGACACGGCCCAUACUCCUACGGGAGGCAGCAGUGGGGAAUUUUACGCAAUGGGGGAAACCCUGACGUAGCGACACCGCGUGAGCGAAGAAGCCUUUUGGGGUGUAAAGCUCUGUCAGCAGGAACGAAAAAAAUGACGGUACCUGCAGAGGAAGCAUCGGCUAACUACGUGCCAGCAGCCGCGGUA